rnacentral:rRNA from 1 species
UACAGGGGGUGCAAACGUUGCUCGGAAUCAUUGGGCGUAAAGCGCACGUAGGCGGUUCGUUAUGUCGGAUGUGAAAGCCCUUGGCUUAACCGAGGAAGUGCAUCCGAAACUGGCGAGCUAGAGUACUAAAGAGGAUCGCGGAAUUCCCGGUGUAGAGGUGAAAUUCGUAGAUAUCAAGCGGAACACCGGUGGCGAAGGCGGCCUUCUGGACAGUGACUGACGCUGAGAUGCGAAAGCGUGGGGAGCAAACAGG